rnacentral:lncRNA from 12 species
AUGAUGCCUCAGAAGCCGUCAGAGCCAGAGAUGAGCUGGAGGGUCAGGUCACUGCAUCUUCCUUGGAACUUGGAGCUCCGGUUGUGGCCGCCAGACCAACACAGGCACGGAAAAGGCCAGUUAUUCAACAUAAGAAGGUUCUGCUAUCUCAGGUCAAGUUCCCACAGGCCAGAGGAACUCCGCAAGCAGGCUGACCUCACAUUCCAGGAAACUCUCAGACAAGGCGCUGCACUGUGUGGGCCCAGACCGUCAGGCAGCUCUUUACUGGAAACACAGGCUGGAUUGGGGGCCUGGACCUGCCCUUUUCUUGCUAUGAGCCUUUGGGCUGAUGCUUACUCAGAUGUAAUUUGGGGCUAUUCUGAGGAUCAAAUGAAUUCAUUCCUCUUGACUUAAACCAAACCCUAUCAAGUUCACUGUAGGUACCAGGCACUGUUGAAAGUGGUGGGGAUAUAAUCAUGAUAAGGAUAGGCAGGGUUCCUGCCCUCACCGAGCUGACAAGUGGUGUGGAAUUGUGUUGGCAGCAGACCGUGACUUGGUUGGUGAGUUGGUUUGCUGAUGCUGCUGAUACAAAGUAAUGAAACUGGCUGACUUAAAACAACUUGUUCUCUCGUGGUCCUGGAGUCUCAAAGUCCAAAAUCAAGGUGUCAGCAGGGAUGGGUUCCCUCCAAAGGCUCUAGAGAAGAAUCUUCCUUGCCAGUAUCUGCUGGCAAUCCUUGGUGUUUCUUGACUUGCAGAUGCAUCACUUCAACGUCUGCCUCUAUCUUCAUACGGCCUUUCUCCCUCCGGAUAUGCAUCUGCAUCCAAAUUUGCCUCUUCUUAUAAGAUUGGAUUGGAUUUAGAGUUCACCCUAAUGCAGUAUAACCUGAUCCGACUUGACUGCAUCUGUAAGACUCUAUGUCCAGAUAAGUCACAUUCCCAGGUUCCAGGUGAAAAUGAAUUUCAAUGGACACUGCUUAACCCAGUACAGUCAGUUUAUAGUUUCUGGGUAUACUGCAGCACUAACAGGAGGAUUUGAUGUUCUCUGAAGGUUGGGCGGAUGAUGAGGUCUCCCUCAAUAUUGAAUAAAUGAUUACAGUGAGCUAGUUGCA